GUGUACGGCCAUACCACCCUGAACAUACCUGAUCUCCUCUGAUCUUGGAAGCUAAGCAGGGUCGGGCCUGGUUAGUACUUAGAUGGGAGACCGCCUGGGAACACUGGGUGUUGUAGGCU
rnacentral:rRNA from 1 species